UAAACGGACUGCAAUUAUGCAGCACUUUUCUAACCACUGGCCACUCAACACACUUUACAAUAUCGCCUCACAUUCACCCAUUCACACCGACGGCGGAGUCAGCCCCGCAAGGCGACAGCCAGCUGGUCAGGAGCAGUCGGGGUUAGAGAUGACACUCGAGGUGCUCCUCCUCGACACUAGGGGGAGCCGGGGUUCAUAGUAGCUACACUCAGGGUACCAUCCAACCCGCUCUCCCUCCAGAGCUACUGCCGCCCUGACGAGGUGCUAAUGCUCAGACUGUGUUCCAUCGGCGUCCAGAGGAAACAGAUGAUAGCCCUUCGAUUCGAGGAGCCGUUGCCGUAGGCUUCAGGCAUAGCUGUAGAUAAGACCGGGGCCACAGCCCCGGUGACUGACAGUUUAUGUGGGCGUGUAUUAUGUUAAACGUUACCGGAUUAACGACAAUCGGUACACAUCACAUGAGGAAUAAACUGCCAAAACCAGUUUUAUGGCUUGGUCUAUAGAGAGUCUUUGGAGGGUGGAAGUGUGUGUAAACAAAGUACAUGUCCACAUGUGUGUCAACACAUGAGGCUAUAUAUUGACGGUUCUGGCUGGAGUUCCCAAGAUGCAAUGUGGUUCCUAAACCGCUUAAACCUCUGCGCUACGUACAGGAAUAGAGGAAGGGUGACAUGGCCUAUGGUCGAAUGCUUUGCAAAGCAGUUCUACGGUCGAUGUGUUGCUGUUGUGGGAUUAACAGCAGGGGACUGUGCAGCAGUGAUAGUUAGUGUGAUAGGUAU